UAAAAAAAAUUCUCCUAGAGAAGAGAAAAGAAAUGUUUUUGAAAAUAUUUGUAAUUUUUUUAAUAAAUUUCUGCUUUCUUAUUGAUUUUAUUAAAAUGUGUACAUCAGGUGGUCGAUGUGCAUCUGACAAUGAAUGCUGUCGAAAUUCGCGUUGCAAAAAUAAUCAUUGUCGUAUUUAUAUAAAAGGCAGAUGAAUCAUUUGUACGAUAAACUGAAUGACAAUUUGGCAAAAAAAAAUUCUCUUCUGAUGUAUUCUUGUUUCGUUAAAUAAGAACAGUUUCAAUAAGUAAAAUAAAAAAUUAUAAAUAUAA